rnacentral:rRNA from 1 species
CAGUAGCCGCGGGAAUACGUAGGGUGCAAGCGUUAAUCUGAAUUACUGGGCGUAAAGCGUGCGCAGGCGGUUAUAUAAGACAGAUGUGAAAUCCCCGGGCUCAACCUGGGAACUGCAUUUGUGACUGUAUAGCUAGAGUACGGCAGAGGGGGAUGGAAUUCCGCGUGUAGCAGUGAAAUGCGUAGAUAUGCGGAGGAACACCGAUGGCGAAGGCAAUCCCCUGGGCCUGUACUGACGCUCAUGCACGAAAGCGUGGGGAGCAAACAGGAUUAGAUACCCCCGUAGUCCCUGUCUCUUAUAC